rnacentral:rRNA from 1 species
ACGGUCUUGCUGUCACUUAUAGAUGGAUCCGCGCUGCAUUAGCUAGUUGGUAAGGUAACGGCUUACCAAGGCAACGAUGCAUAGCCGACCUGAGAGGGUGAUCGGCCACACUGGAACUGAGACACGGUCCAGACUCCUACGGGAGGCAGCAGUAGGGAAUCUUCCGCAAUGGGCGAAAGCCUGACGGAGCAACGCCGCGUGAGUGAUGAAGGUCUUCGGAUCGUAAAACUCUGUUAUUAGGGAAGAACAUAUGUGUAAGUAACUGUGCACAUCUUGACGGUACCUAAUCAGAAAGCCACGGCUAACUACGUGCCAGCAGCCGCGGUAAUACGUAGGUGGCAAGCGUUAUCCGGAAUUAUUGGGCGUAAAGCGCGCGUAGGCGGUUUUUUAAGUCUGAUGUGAAAGCCCACGGCUCAACCGUGGAGGGUCAUUGGAAACUGGAAAACUUGAGUGCAGAAGAGGAAAGUGGAAUUCCAUGUGUAGCGGUGAAAUGCGCAGAGAUAUGGAGGAACACCAGUGGCGAAGGCGACUUUCUGGUCUGUAACUGACGCUGAUGUGCGAAAGCGUGGGGAUCAAACAGGAUUAGAUACCCUGGUAGUCCACGCCGUAAACGAUGAGUGCUAAGUGUUAGGGGGUUUCCGCCCCUUAGUGCUGCAGCUAACGCAUUAAGCACUCCGCCUGGGGAGUACGACCGCAAGGUUGAAACUCAAAGGAAUUGACGGGGACCCGCACAAGCGGUGGAGCAUGUGGUUUAAUUCGAAGCAACGCGAAGAACCUUACCAAAUCUUGACAUCCUUUGACAACUCUAGAGAUAGAGCCUUCCCCUUCGGGGGACAAAGUGACAGGUGGUGCAUGGUUGUCGUCAGCUCGUGUCGUGAGAUGUUGGGUUAAGUCCCGCAACGAGCGCAACCCUUAAGCUUAGUUGCCAUCAUUAAGUUGGGCACUCUAAGUUGACUGCCGGUGACAAACCGGAGGAAGGUGGGGAUGACGUCAAAUCAUCAUGCCCCUUAUGAUUUGGGCUACACACGUGCUACAAUGGACAAUACAAAGGGCAGCGAAACCGCGAGGUCAAGCAAAUCCCAUAAAGUUGUUCUCAGUUCGGAUUGUAGUCUGCAACUCGACUACAUGAAGCUGGAAUCGCUAGUAAUCGUAGAUCAGCAUGCUACGGUGAAUACGUUCCCGGGUCUUGUACACACCGCCCGUCACACCACGAGAGUUUGUAACACCCGAAGCCGGUGGAGUAACCUUUUAGGAGCUAGCCGUCGAAGGUGGGACAAAUGAUUGGGGUGAAGUCGUAACAAGGUAGCCGUAUCGGAAGGUGCGGCU